rnacentral:tRNA from 1 species
UGCGGAUGUGGCGGAAUUGGUAUACGCGCACGCUUGAGGUGCGUGUGGGCUUGCCCUUGCGAGUUCGAGUCUCGCCAUCCGCAU